rnacentral:rRNA from 1 species
AGUGAACGCUGGCGGUAGGCCUAACACAUGCAAGUCGAACGGCAGCACAGUAAGAGCUUGCUCUUACGGGUGGCGAGUGGCGGACGGGUGAGGAAUACAUCGGAAUCUACUUUUUCGUGGGGGAUAACGUAGGGAAACUUACGCUAAUACCGCAUACGACCUACGGUUGAAAGCAGGGGAUCUUCGGACCUUGCGCGAUUGAAUGAGCCGAUGUCGGAUUAGCUAGUUGGCGGGGUAAAGGCCCACCAAGGCGACGAUCCGUAGCUGGUCUGAGAGGAUGAUCAGCCACACUGGAACUGAGACACGGUCCAUACUCCUAAGGGAGGCAGCAGUGGGGAAUAUUGGACAAUGGGCGCAAGCCUGAUCCAGCCAUACCGCGUGGGUGAAGAAGGCCUUCGGGUUGUAAAGCCCUUUUGUUGGGAAAGAAAAGCAGCAGGUUAAUACCCCGCUGUUCUGACGGUACCCAAAGAAUAAGCACCGGCUAACUUCGUG